GGGACUGGCUCAUGAAUAUUAAGAACAGAUCCUUGGCUCGAGCAGCAUUUAUGAUUCACGAAAUCGCCAUUGAUAAUGUUGAAUUUAUGGCAAGCUUUCAAGGAGGAUGUGAGAUGCUGAAUCCAAACAACAACUAAGAUAACUGAAUGUUUCUACAACUAUUCUCUGCAACUCACAUGAAUAUUUAAUGAGAGCUCCUCCCGCCGUGCUUAAUCAAGGAACCUGCCCAGCUCAUCAAGGAACAUGAAUCCCGUUGGAUUGGCUGUGGAGUGUCAUGAUGACCUUAUGAGAAUUGUUCAGUAAUACCCACACAAUGAGUAAGCUGCACCCAUGAGCUGAUUGGCCGAGAGCAAGCAUGAAGACCUUCAGAUGCAGGCAUCCAGAUAUGGCCUAGUAAACAUA